GACGAACGCUUUCGGCGUGCUUAACACAUGCAAGUCGAACGGAAAGGCCCUGCUUUUGUGGGGUGCUCGAGUGGCGAACGGGUGAGUAACACGUGAGUAACCUGCCCUUGACUUUGGGAUAACUUCAGGAAACUGGGGCUAAUACCGGAUAGGAGCUCCUGCUGCAUGGUGGGGGUUGGAAAGUUUCGGCGGUUGGGGAUGGACUCGCGGCUUAUCACCUUGUUGGUGGGGUAGUGGCUUACCAAGGCUUUGACGGGUAGCCGGCCUGAGAGGGUGACCGGCCACAUUGGGACUGAGAUACGGCCCAGACUCCUACCGGAGGCAACAGUGGGGAAUAUUGCACAAUGGGCGGAAGCCUGAUGCAGCAACGCCGCAUGCGGGAUGACAGCCUUCGGGUUGUAAACCGCUUUCUCCUGUGACGAAGCGUGAGUGACGGUAAUGGGUAAAGAAUCACCGGCUAACUACAUGCCAGCACCCGCGGUGAUACGUAGGGUGCGAGCGUUGUCCGGAUUUAUUGAGCGUAAAGGGCUCGUAUGUGGUUGAUCGCGUCCGAAGUGUAAUCUUGAGGCUUAACCCUGAGCGUGCUUUCUAUACCGGUUGACUUGAGGAAAGUAGGGGAGAAUGGAAUUCCUGGUGGAGCGGUGGAAUGCGCAGAUAUCAGGAGGAACACCAGUGGCGAAGGCGGUUCUCUGGGCCUUUCCUGACGCUGAGGAGCGAAAGCGUGGGGAGCGAACAGGCUUAGAUACCCUGGUAGUCCACGCUGUAAACGGUGGGUACUAGGUGUGGGGUCCAUUCCACGGGUUCCGUGCCGUAGCUAACGCUUUAAGUACCCCGCCUGGGGAGUACGGCCGCAAGGCUAAAACUCAAAGGAAUUGACGGGGCCCCGCACAAGCGGCGGAGCAUGCGGAUUAAUUCGAUGCAACGCGUAGAACCUUACCUGGGUUUGACAUGGAUCGGGAGUGCUCAGAGAUGGGUGUGCCUCUUUUGGGGUCGGUUCACAGGUGGUGCAUGGCUGUCGUCAGCUCGUGUCGUGAGAUGUUGGGUUAAGUCCCGCAACGAGCGCAACCCUUGUUCACUGUUGCCAGCACGUUAUGGUGGGGACUCAGUGGAGACCGCCGGGGUCAACUCGGAGGAAGGUGGGGAUGACGUCAAGUCAUCAUGCCCCUUAUGUCCAGGGCUUCACGCAUGCUACAAUGGCUGGUACAGAGAGUGGCGAGCCUGUGAGGGUGAGCGAAUCUCGGAAAGCCGGUCUCAGUUCGGAUUGGGGUCUGCAACUUGACCUCAUGAAGUCGGAGUCGCUAGUAAUCGCAGAUCAGCAACGCUGCGGUGAAUACGUUCCCGGGGCUUGUACACACCGCCCGUCAAGUCAUGAAAGUUGGUAACACCCGAAGCCGGUGGCCUAACCGUUGUGGGGGAGCCGUCGAAGGUGGGACUGGUGAUUAGGACUAAGUCAUA
rnacentral:rRNA from 1 species